GAUGAACGCUGACAGAAUGCUUAACACAUCAGCAAUUGAUUGGUGGCGGACGGGUGAGUAACGCGUAAAGAAAUUGCAUAACAGGUAGGGACAACAUAUGGAAACGAAUGCUAAUACCUAAUACUGUGAGAGAGCUGUGCGUCCCCGUAGCUCGUGGGAGAGGUAACGGCUCACCAAGGCGCUGAUGGGUAGCCGGCCUGAGAGUGUGAUCGGCCACAAGAGGACUGGUACACGGCCCUUACUCCUACGGGAGGCAGCAGUGGGGAAUAUUGGACACUGGACCAAAGUCUGAUCCAGCAAUUCUGGUUGCACGAUGAAUUUUUCGGAAUGUAAAGUGCUUUCAGUUGGGAAUCGGUACCAACAGAAGAAGUGACGGCUAAAUACGUGCCAGCCGCCGCGGUAAUUC
rnacentral:rRNA from 1 species